rnacentral:rRNA from 1 species
GGUUGAUUAACACGUGGAUAACCUACCUGUAAGACUGGGAUAACUUCGGGAAACCGGACCUAAUACCGGAUAAUAUAUUGAACCGCAUGGUUCAAUAGUGAAAGACGGUUUUGCUGUCACUUAUAGAUGGAUCCGCGCCGCAUUAGCUAGUUGGUAAGGUAACGGCUUACCAAGGCAACGAUGCGUAGCCGACCUGAGAGGGUGAUCGGCCACACUGGAACUGAGACACGGUCCAGACUCCUACGGGAGGCAGCAGUAGGGAAUCUUCCGCAAUGGGCGAAAGCCUGACGGAGCAACGCCGCGUGAGUGAUGAAGGUCUUCGGAUCGUAAAACUCUGUUAUUAGGGAAGAACAAAUGUGUAAGUAACUNUGCACGUCUUGACGGUACCUAAUCAGAAAGCCACGGCUAACUACGUGCCAGCAGCCGCGGUAAUACGUAGGUGGCAAGCGUUAUCCGGAAUUAUUGGGCGUAAAGCGCGCGUAGGCGGUUUUUUAAGUCUGAUGUGAAAGCCCACGGCUCAACCGUGGAGGGUCAUUGGAAACUGGAAAACUUGAGUGCAGAAGAGGAAAGUGGAAUUCCAUGUGUAGCGGUGAAAUGCGCAGAGAUAUGGAGGAACACCAGUGGCGAAGGCGACUUUCUGGUCUGUAACUGACGCUGAUGUGCGAAAGCGUGGGGAUCAAACAGGAUUAGAUACCCUGGUAGUCCACGCCGUAAACGAUGAGUGCUAAGUGUUAGGGGGUUUCCGCCCCUUAGUGCUGCAGCUAACGCAUUAAGCACUCCGCCUGGGGAGUACGACCGCA